AGAGUUUGAUCCUGGCUCAGGACGAACGCUGGCGGCGCGCCUAACACAUGCAAGUCGAACGGAGAUUACAGGCGGAAGUUUUCGGAUGGAAGCUUGUAAACUUAGUGGCGGACGGGUGAGUAACACGUGAGCAACCUGCCUAUCAGAGGGGGAUAACGAUUGUAAACGACCGCUAAUACCGCAUGACAUAGCGGAAUCGCAUGGUUCUGUUAUCAAAAGAUUUUAUCGCUGAUAGAUGGGCUCGCGUCCG
rnacentral:rRNA from 1 species